ACCCUUAACCUAGAAGUCUUUGCUAUUUCUAGGGGAGGCUAGGGGCUUAGGGGAGAAGCCUAGGAGGACGUCUUUCUACAAAUUACCCUUGAAUAGAUGCAGUCUUAAUCAUGUAUUCUGAACCCAAGGUCUCCCUCAAUAAAAAAUAAGAAAGGAUUGCAAGAUCAAAAAGUCAACUGGUCUCUCAAGCCCCUAAUAAACUUUGUAGCUGUCUCAGACACUUUUAGUUUAAAAAAAAACAAAAAAACAAAAAACCAUGUUAAACCCCUGGCCAGGUUCUUGCCUCCCAAGUACAGAUCACUGACGCGGGCUGCGUGUGGGAACUCGUCUCCUCUUUGUAUUUUUCAAUUCUUUGCCGGGUUGUAGCAGUUUCCUCUACCUGAGUCCAGCCGCCAAACACAACAGCUUCUUCCUUCCUCCACCCUUCUCUCCUACCAAACUCAGCUUCUUGGAACCCACCCAGAACACCAUUCAGAUGCAAGUCGAAUGCCCCCACUUAACUUACUGAAUUGGAGAAGAUGGAGAAGAGGGAAAGAAAAAUUAGGUCAAGGCACCGUAGAACUGCGGGGCAAAUAGUGAGAGGGCAGGCGUCCGCUGUAGUAGCGACGAAGCGUGAAAAAAAUACGACGGAGUCCCCGAGGGAAGAGAACCCGGAGCUGUGAGCGCCAUCCUCCUGUGGACAGUAGGCGGCGGCUUUAAAAGACUGAGCCCGGGAGAAGAAUUUCCAAUAAACAGCCUAAAGGCGGAGCCUGGGAGAAGACA
rnacentral:lncRNA from 1 species